rnacentral:lncRNA from 1 species
UCCUACCACGUUCCCUAAACAUUCAGAAGGAGGCAUUCAUCCUACCACGUUCCCUAAACAUUCAGAAGGAGGCAUUCAUCCUACCACGUUCCCUAAACAUUCAGAAGGAGGCAUUCAUCCUACCACGUUCCCUAAACAUUCAGAAGGAGGCAUUCAUCCUACCACGUUCCCUAAACAUUCAGAAGGAGGCAUUCAUCCUACCACGUUCCCUAAACAUUCAGAAGGAGGCAUUCAUCCUACCACGUUCCCUAAACAUUCAGAAGGAGGCAUUCAUCCUACCACGUUCCCUAAACAUUCAGAAGGAGGCAUAUUCAGUGGGUGGAUUUGUGAAAUAUUUUUCUAGAUCCAUUUGUAAUGUCCUCUUUCCUCCUCUAAACAAAGGGCUGGGAUUCUGUAAAAGCCACAGCACGUUACAUUCCUUUCUUUUUCUAAGCAGGAAUCUCUCUUUCUGAAAUGAGUUAUUACCUCCAUGUUGGGGCAAGGGAAAGAGCCCUGGACUGUGGAGAGUGAAGUGAAAAUAACAAAAACAUCAAAUGGUUGGGAAUGCAUCAAAGGUGUGAACACAGAUGUCUCUCCUACACAUAUGAUCAAGGAAUUACCACCAAAAGAGAACAAUAGCACAGGAAAAGUAUUCCAAGCAGUGAUGUUGGAAAGACAUGAAAUCCAUGACAUCCAAGAUUUUUACUUCAGAGAAAUGCAGCAAAAUAUUCAUGACUUUGAGUGUCAGUGUCACAAUGAUGAGAGAAAUUACAGAGAAAUACCUGCAAUUAAAAUUAAAAACAUCACUGGAAGAAGAGAUCAAGGUGAUGGAAGGAAUGCAGGAAAUAAGCCAGUUGAAAAUCAGCUUGAACUAAGCUUUUGGUUGCAUCUGGCUGAACUGCAGGGAUUUCAAAUUGAAAGGAAAAUUUAUGAAUGUAAUCAAAUUGAGAAGUCUGUCACCCGUGGGUCCUCAGUUUCAUUACUUCAAACAAAUCUUCCUCGUGUCAACACCAGCAUUUCUAAUAUAUAUAGGAAUGAUUUUAUACAUCCUUCAUUACUCACACAAGACCAGAAAGCAUACAUUAGGGAAAAACCUUACAAAUGUAGUGAUUGUGGCAAGGCCUUUAAUCAGAGGUUCAACCUUACUACACAUCAGAGAAUCCAUACUGGACAGAAACCACAUAAAUGUGAUAUAUGUGGCAAAGGUUUCAGGCAAAUUGGAAACCUAGCAAGUCAUCAUAGAAUUCAUACUGGAGAGAAACCUUACAGAUGUAAUGAGUGUGGCAAGACCUUUAACAGGAUGUUCCACCUUACUAGACAUCAGAGAAUCCAUACUGGACAGAAACCAUAUAAAUGUGAUAUAUGUGGCAAAGGUUUCAGGCAAAUUGCAAACCUAGCAAGUCAUCAUAGAAUUCAUACUGGAGAGAAACCUUACAAAUGUAGUGAUUGUGGCAAGACCUUUAAUUACAGGUCCCACCUUACAAGACAUCAGAGAAUCCAUACUGGACAGAAACCGUAUAAAUGUGAUACAUGUGGCAAAGAUUUCAGUCAAAAUUCAUACCUUGAAAAUCAUCAGAGAAUUCACACUAGAGAGAAAUCUUACAGAUGUAAUGAGUGUGGCAAGACCUUUAAUAAGAUGACCAACCUUACUACACAUCAGAGAAUCCAUACUGGACAGAAACCAUAUAAAUGUGAUAUAUGUGGCAAAGAUUUCAGGCAAAUUGGAAACCUAGCAAGUCAUCAUAGAAUUCAUACUGGAGAGAAACCUUACAGAUGUAAUGAGUGUGGCAAGACCUUUAACAGGAUGUUCCACCUUACUAGACAUCAGAGAAUCCAUACUGGACAGAAACCAUAUAAAUGUGAUAUAUGUGGCAAAAGUUUCAGUCAAAAUUCAUACCUUGAAAAUCAUCAGAGA